UAAAACUUUUUGCUUGAUUUUGAUAAUUUUUGGGAAGAUUAUUGUGGGAUCUUGAAAUGGCUUGACCUUUCUUGGCGAAUCUCUGCAAUUGUAGUUGAUAACUUUUUGAUAAAUCUGAGCUUUCUUGCUUGAUUUUGACAUUUUUGGAAAUUUCAUGUAUAUUCUCUCAUAUUUCUUUUGCAAUUGUAGUUGAUCCUAUUUUAGUCAAUCUCUCUAUAAGGUUACGAAAUCUCCAGGUGAUUUGGUUUUCUAAAAAUUGUUUCAUUCUAAAUUCACUUACUUUAUCAAACUAGAAAUCUUUCAGUAAACAAUUCAUCAUGUAAACAUCUAAAGACAAAUAUUAGUAUGCUUGCAGUAUUAGCGAUGUAUAAUAUAUGAUAUCAUGUUUAUUUGUUUCUUCUCAUUAGCAGUAAGACAAAUGUUAUCAUGUUUAUUUUUUUCUUCUCAUGCUAGUAAAUAGUCAUUUCAGUACAUGUUAUCUACGCACAUGAGGUCAUUAGAAUUACAUGAGAGGCUAGUAUAAUACAUUUUGGGUAGCAAUUACACAAUCCUUUUACAGUGAGUAGAUGAUAUCAGGUACGUACACCAUUCUUUUACAGUGAUAUAUUGUCACAACUAUCAUCUUGAAGAGGCCGUUGUGAGUAGAUGAUAUCGGAUAAAAGAUGAAGAACUUUUCGGAAGAGUUUAGUGAAGAAGAAGAUGAGGGUUUAGUUCAAAGAAGAUGUUAUUGUGGGUUAAUUUGCAGAAUAUAGAUGUGCAAACAAGGACACAAUAAGGGUUUGGAAUUUUAUGGAUGCCCAAGAUACAAGUGACCUAAUUGCAAGGAUUGCAACGUCUUCGAAUGGGUGGGUGAUACCAAGAACAUCACAAAAAUGCUGGAAAGACUAGUAAAAAAUGAUGAGUUUUUGAAUAAAAUGCUGAAUGAUGUAAUUUUAUAUUUAAAAUUUAUUGCUAUCGUUGUACUGAUAUUGUUGCUUUGUGUUAUAGUCAAAUGAGUGAGCAACAUAUUAUUGAAUGACUGAUGUAUCCAAAUAUCCUAUUGUAAACGAAUGUUCAAACUGGUGAAGGCCUUCAUGCUUCAUUUGGUGCUUUUGUCUA